rnacentral:rRNA from 1 species
GACGAACGCUGGCGGCGUGCUUAACACAUGCAAGUCGAACGGAAAGGCCUGUCCUUCCUUGUGUUGGACGGGUACUCGAGUGGCGAACGGGUGAGUAACACGUGAGUGAUCUGCCCCCAACUUGGGUAUAAGCCUGGGAAACUGGGUCUAAUUCCCGAUAGGACUGCAGGGUGGUGCCUGUGGUGGAAAACGAUUUUCUAGUGGUUGGGGAUGAGCUCGCGGCCUAUCAGCUUGUUGGUGGGGUAAUGGCCUACCAAGGCGGCGACGGGUAGCCGGCCUGAGAGGGUGGACGGCAACAUUGGGACUGAGAUACGGCCCAGACUCCUACGGGAGGCAGCAGUGGGGAAUAUUGCACAAUGGGCGGAAGCCUGAUGCAGCGACGCCGCGUGGGGGAUGACGGCCUUCGGGUUGUAAACUCCUUUCGACCGCGAGGAAGCCGCCUGGUUGGAAGGGUGGUGACGGUAGUGGUAGAAGAAGCACCGGCUAACUACGUG